rnacentral:lncRNA from 1 species
CAUUUUCAAGCUACAGCUUCGUGGCCAACAAAGAUUAUCUAUCUGUAUAUCUCUCUUUUGGCUGCCAGACCCAAAUACUAUUUUGCAUGGACGCUAGCUGAUGCCAUUAAUAAUGCUGCAGGCUUUGGUUUCAGAGGGUAUGACGAAAAUGGAGCAGCUCGCUGGGACUUAAUUUCCAAUUUGAGAAUUCAACAAAUAGAGAUGUCAACAAGUUUCAAGAUGUUUCUUGAUAAUUGGAAUAUUCAGACAGCUCUUUGGCUCAAAAGGGUGUGUUAUGAACGAACCUCCUUCAGUCCAACUAUCCAGACGUUCAUUCUCUCUGCCAUUUGGCACGGGGUAUACCCAGGAUAUUAUCUAACGUUUCUAACAGGGGUGUUAAUGACAUUAGCAGCAAGAGCUAUGAGAAAUAACUUUAGACAUUAUUUCAUUGAACCUUCCCAACUGAAAUUAUUUUAUGAUGUUAUAACAUGGAUAGUAACUCAAGUAGCAAUAAGUUACACAGUUGUGCCAUUUGUGCUUCUUUCUAUAAAACCAUCACUCACGUUUUACAGCUCCUGGUAUUAUUGCCUGCACAUUCUUGGUAUCUUAGUAUUAUUGUUGUUGCCAGUGAAAAAAACUCAAAGAAGAAAGAAUACACAUGAAAACAUUCAGCUCUCACAAUCCAAAAAGUUUGAUGAAGGAGAAAAUUCUUUGGGACAGAACAGUUUUUCUACAACAAACAAUGUUUGCAAUCAGAAUCAAGAAAUAGCCUCGAGACAUUCAUCACUAAAGCAGUGAUCGGGAAGGCUCUGAGGGCUGUUUUUUUUUUUUGAUGUUAACAGAAACCAAUCUUAGCACCUUUUCAAGGGGUUUGAGUUUGUUGGAAAAGCAGUUAACUGGGGGGAAAUGGACAGUUAUAGAUAAGGAAUUUCCUGUACACCAGAUUGGAAAUGGAGUGAAACAAGCCCUCCCAUGCCAUGUCUCCGUGGGCCACGCCUUAUGUAAGAAUAUUUCCAUAUUUCAGUGGGCACUCCCAACCUCAGCACUUGUCCGUAGGGUCACACGCGUGCCCUGUUGCUGAAUGUAUGUUGCGUAUCCCAAGGCACUGAAGAGGUGGAAAAAUAAUCGUGUCAAUCUGGAUGAUAGAGAGAAAUUAACUUUUCCAAAUGAAUGUCUUGCCUUAAACCCUCUAUUUCCUAAAAUAUUGUUCCUAAAUGGUAUUUUCAAGUGUAAUAUUGUGAGAACGCUACUGCAGUAGUUGAUGUUGUGUGCUGUAAAGGAUUUUAGGAGGAAUUUGAAACAGGAUAUUUAAGAGUGUGGAUAUUUUUAAAAUGCAAUAAACAUCUCAG